GAUUAAGAACGCAGCGAAAUGCGAUAAGUAAUGUGAAUUGCAGAAUUCAGUGAAUCAUCGAAUCUUUGAACGCACAUUGCGCCCGCCAGUAUUCUGGCGGGCAUGCCUGUUCGAGCGUCAUUUCAACCAUCAAGCCCCCGGCUUGUGUUGGGGACCUGCGGCUGCCGCAGGCCCUGAAAAGCAGUGGCGGGCUCGCUGUCACACCGAGCGUAGUAGCAUACAUCUCGCUCUGGGCGUGCUGCGGGUUCCGGCCGUUAAACCACCUUCAUAACCCAAGGUUGACCUCGGAUCAGGUAGGAAGACCCGCUGAACUUAAGCAUAUCAAUAAGCGGAGGA
rnacentral:misc_RNA from 1 species